rnacentral:rRNA from 1 species
UACGUAGGGUGCGAGCGUUGUCCGGAAUUAUUGGGCGUAAAGAGCUCGUAGGCGGUUUGUCGCGUCGACUGUGAAAACCCGAGGCUUAACCUCGGGCCUGCAGUCGAUACGGGCAGACUAGAGUUCGGUAGGGGAGACUGGAAUUCCUGGUGUAGCGGUGAAAUGCGCAGAUAUCAGGAGGAACACCGGUGGCGAAGGCGGGUCUCUGGGCCUUACCUGACGCUGAGGAGCGAAAGCUGGGGGAGCGAACAGG